rnacentral:lncRNA from 1 species
UCUGUUUCUGUUUCAUAGCUAUCUUGUAUUUCUUCGAAAAUUUGAUCGAAUUUAUCCGAUUUCUCUUGUAACUUAUUUUCUUUUAUAUAUCCCAAAUUAUCUGUUCUUAAUUCGCAUUUUCCAAAAUGUUCUUCUACAUUUCUUAAAGUUAAUUUUCCUAGUUUACAUUUUGCAUUGGAAAGUGCUAUUUUUGUUUUCUUUAACUAAUUUUCUUGCUUCUUCUAACGCUAU